rnacentral:rRNA from 1 species
GCUGAAGCAACAAAUGCCCUGCUUCCAGGAAAAGCCUCUAAGCAUCAGGUAACAUCAAAUCGUACCCCAAACCGACACAGGUGGUCAGGUAGAGAAUACCAAGGCGCUUGAGAGAACUCGGGUGAAGGAACUAGGCAAAAUGGUGCCGUAACUUCGGGAGAAGGCACGCUGAUAUGUAGGUGAAGUCCCUCGCGGAUGGAGCUGAAAUCAGUCGAAGAUACCAGCUGGCUGCAACUGUUUAUUAAAAACACAGCACUGUGCAAACACGAAAGUGGACGUAUACGGUGUGACGCCUGCCCGGUGCCGGAAGGUUAAUUGAUGGGGUUAGCCGCAA